rnacentral:rRNA from 1 species
UAGCGGCCGUCGGGUGAGUAACACGUGGGUAACCUGCCCAUAAGACUGGGAUAACUCCGGGAAACCGGGGCUAAUACCGGAUAACAUUUUGAACCGCAUGGUUCGAAAUUGAAAGGCGGCUUCGGCUGUCACUUAUGGAUGGACCCGCGUCGCAUUAGCUAGUUGGUGAGGUAACGGCUCACCAAGGCAACGAUGCGUAGCCGACCUGAGAGGGUGAUCGGCCACACUGGGACUGAGACACGGCCCAGACUCCUACGGGAGGCAGCAGUAGGGAAUCUUCCGCAAUGGACGAAAGUCUGACGGAGCAACGCCGCGUGAGUGAUGAAGGCUUUCGGGUCGUAAAACUCUGUUGUUAGGGAAGAACAAGUGCUAGUUGAAUAAGCUGGCACCUUGACGGUACCUAACCAGAAAGCCACGGCUAACUACGUGCCAGCAGCCGCGGUAAUACGUAGGUGGCAAGCGUUAUCCGGAAUUAUUGGGCGUAAAGCGCGCGCAGGUGGUUUCUUAAGUCUGAUGUGAAAGCCCACGGCUCAACCGUGGAGGGUCAUUGGAAACUGGGAGACUUGAGUGCAGAAGAGGAAAGUGGAAAUUCCAUGUGUAGCGGUGAAAUGCGUAGAGAUAUGGAGGAACACCAGUGGCGAAAGCGACUUUCUGGUCUGUAACUGACACUGAGGCGCGAAAGCGU